UUGCUCCGGCAGCCCAUAUACUAAAAUUGGAAUUAUACGGACAAGAUUAGCAUGGCCCCUGCAUAAGAAUGACAAGCAAAUUCAUGAAGCAUUCUAUAAUUAA